CCUACGGGAGGCAGCAGUGAGGAAUAUUGGUCAAUGGACGAGAGUCUGAACCAGCCAAGUAGCGUGAAGGAUGACUGCCCUAUGGGUUGUAAACUUCUUUUAUAUGGGAAUAAAAUGUUCCACGUGUGGGAUUUUGUAUGUCCCAUAUGAAUAAGGAUCGGCUAACUACGUGCCAGCAGCGGCGGUAAUACGGAGGUUCCGAGCGUUAUCCGGAUUUAUUGGGUUUAACGGGAGCGUAGGUGGAUUGUUAAGUCAGUUGUGAAAGUUUGCGGCUCAACCGUAAAAUUGCAGUUGAAACUGGCAGUCUGGAGUACAGUAGAGGUGAGCGGAAUUCGUGGUGUAGCGGUGAAAUGCUUAGAUAUCACGAAGAACACCGAUUGCGAAGGCAGCUCACUGGACUGCAACUGACACUGAGGCUCGAAAGUGUGGGGAUCAAACAGGAUUAGAUACCCCUGUAGUC
rnacentral:rRNA from 1 species